rnacentral:rRNA from 1 species
GAUGAACGCUGGCGACGUGCUUAACACAUGCAAGUCGAACGAAGCACUUUAUUUGAUUUCCUUCGGGACUGAUUAUUUUGUGACUGAGUGGCGGACGGGUGAGUAACGCGUGGGUAACCUGCCUUGUACAGGGGGAUAACAGUUGGAAACGGCUGCUAAUACCGCAUAAGCGCACAGCAUCGCAUGAUGCAGUUUGAAAAACUCCGGUGGUAUAAGAUGGACCCGCGUUGGAUUAGCUAGUUGGUGAGGUAACGGCCCACCAAGGCGACGAUCCAUAGCCGACCUGAGAGGGUGACCGGCCACAUUGGGACUGAGACACGGCCCAAACUCCUACGGGAGGCAGCAGUGGGGAAUAUUGCACAAUGGGCGAAAGCCUGAUGCAGCGACGCCGCGUGAGAGAAGAAGUAUUUCGGUAUGUAAAGCUCUAUCAGAAGGGAAGAUAAUGACGGUACCUGACUAAGAAGCACCGGCUAAAUACGUG